GCUUGCUUCUCCGAUGGNUAGCGGCGGACGGGUGAGUAACACGUAGGCAACCUGCCCUCAAGCUUGGGACAACUACCGGAAACGGUAGCUAAUACCGAAUAGUUGUUUUCUUCUCCUGAAGAAAACUGGAAAGACGGAGCAAUCUGUCACUUGGGGAUGGGCCUGCGGCGCAUUAGCUAGUUGGUGGGGUAACGGCUCACCAAGGCGACGAUGCGUAGCCGACCUGAGAGGGUGAUCGGCCACACUGGGACUGAGACACGGCCCAGACUCCUACGGGAGGCAGCAGUAGGGAAUCUUCCGCAAUGGGCGAAAGCCUGACGGAGCAAUGCCGCGUGAGUGAUGAAGGUUUUCGGAUCGUAAAGCUCUGUUGCCAGGGAAGAACGCUUGGGAGAGUAACUGCUCUCAAGGUGACGGUCCCUGAGAAGAAAGCCCCGGCUAACUACGUGCCAGCAGCCGCGGUAAUACGUAGGGGGCAAGCGUUGUCCGGAAUUAUUGGGCGUAAAGCGCGCGCAGGCGGUCAUUUAAGUCUGGUGUUUAAUCCCGGGGCUCAACCCCGGAUCNCACUGGAUACUGGGUGACUUGAGUGCAGAAGAGGANAGUGGAAUUCCACNUGUAGCGGUGAAAUGCGUAGAUAUGUGGAGGAACACCASUGGCGAANGGCGANCUCUCUGGGCUGUAACUGACGCUGAGGCGCGAAAGCGUGGGGAGCAAACAGGAUUAGAUACCCCUGGUAGUCCACGCCGUAAACGAUGAGUGCUAGGUGUUAGGGGUUUCGAUACCCUUGGUGCCGAAGUUAACACAUUAAGCACUCCGCCUGGGGAGUACGGUCGCAAGACUGAANCUCAAAGGAAUUGACGGGGACCCGCACAAGCAGUGGAGUAUGUGGUUUAAUUCGAAGCAACGCGAAGAACCUUACCAGNUCUUGACAUCCCUCUGACCGGUACAGAGAUGUACCUUUCCUUCGGGACAGAGGAGACAGGUGGUGCAUGGUUGUCGUCAGCUCGUGUCGUGAGAUGUUGGGUUAAGUCCCGCAACGAGCGCAACCCUUGAUCUUAGUUGCCAGCACUUCGGGUGGGCACUCUAAGGUGACUGCCGGUGACAAACCGGAGGAAGGUGGGGAUGACGUCAAAUCAUCAUGCCCCUUAUGACCUGGGCUACACACGUACUACAAUGGCCGGUACAACGGGCAGUGAAACCGCGAGGUGGAACGAUUCCUAAAAAGCCGGUCUCAGUUCGGAUUGCAGGCUGCAACUCGCCUGCAUGAAGUCGGAAUUGCUAGUAAUCGCGGAUCAGCAUGCCGCGGUGAAUACGUUCCCGGGUCUUGUACACACC
rnacentral:rRNA from 1 species